GCUAGUCAUAAACUCAAUGCUCAAUCUUCCAUGAGCGCCUUCUCUCCCUCCCAUUCAAUUGGCUGGAUAUAGUAGCAUUUUAAGAUAGAAUGAGUCCAAAUCCCUGAGUCACCACCACUUGAAAGAGAGAGAGACCUAGACUUUAAAAUGGUGUCAAGCUUUUGAAAUCUGAACCUGUUUGUUAUAGCAGUGAGUGUAUUUACUUGGCUAACAAAACAAGAAUCUGGACACAACAUUUUUUUCUGCAGGUUUCAUGGCAUGAUAUGACACAAUCCGUAGACAAAGGUUGCUGAGCCCAGAACAGCUUAUUGGACCAGCCCAUAUGAGAAGCAGAAAUGUGAAGCAAAUCAAACCUAAGGAAAGAGUGAUGAUACUUCAGGAGGGAUGACAGAGGAAGAGGAAGCACACUGACCAUCCCUGUCCCAGCAGAGAGCCAGCUCUGAUUCAGCAGACUCUGAGAACAUCUGGGUAGUUUCCCCAUUCUUUCUGUCCAGCAAUGAGCAGCUGCCAAGCAUGAUUCCCCUCUUCCAGGUAUUCCUCUUAGCAAUAUCUUCCAGGGAAGAAAAUAAAGUUUGAAAAAGUUUCCACUCGGAGUUCCACCCAGUAAUCAAUGGUGAGGUGUGAAACCUGGGCUUCCCGACGUGCUAUGCGGUGCUCUCCAUUUUAAUACGGCUGCCUGAGGAACCAGCUGGCUGGAAGAGUGGCUGUGGGCGGUUCACGGCCAGACUGCGAUGGUGGCGAGGCACGGUGACUGGGACGCGAAUACAUAACACCCACGUUCAUGGAAUUGGAGUCUCCUGGGAACAGUGGUAUGAACUUGAAGAUGAGUCAUGACUUGAGUUUUGAGAACUGUCUUGGUGGUAAUUCUGCACCCACUUUACAUAUGAAGAAGCUGAAGUCUUGCAAAGUGGCCCAAGGUCUCCCAGGGAUGACCUGCUGGAAGCAAGCUAUGAAUCUAAGUCUCACCCCAAAGCUGCCUGUGUUCUCUUGUGAAAAGAACCACAAGCCAAAAGUUGGAUCAAUACCCAAGGACAGACACCUCUCUAAGAGCUGUGAUUGAGCUUGGUAAGUAUUUCAGGAGCAAUUCAAAUAGAUUCUUUCAAAUCCUAAAAUGUGAAGUGAUAGCUUUUGUUUCUUUCAAUGGAGGGAAUGGGUUUAGAGUUUUAUAGAAAAUUGACUGAACACUUCAUUCUCCACUUCAUAUUGGCAGGCCAGGUACAAGGUAACUUUUUUUCUUUCUUUUUUUUUCAACUCUUAUUUUAGAUUUAGGGGAUACUUGUGCAGAUUUGUUACCUGGGUAGAUCAUGUGAUACUGAGAUUAGGGAUAUGAACGAUCCUUUCACCUAGGUACUGCGCAUUAGUACUCAACGGUUUUUUUAUUUUUUAUUUUUUUAUUUUAUUUAUUUAUUUUUUUUAAAUUUUUUAUUGGAUUUUAGGUUUUGGGGUACAUGAGCAGAGCA
rnacentral:lncRNA from 13 species